CAAGGGAUGUGUAGCUUUUUCAAUCCUGGCCAUAAUAUUCUCCUUCAUGCACUUCUCCGUGUCCUUUCUCCUUUCAUUAAGUAAAAUGGAGAUGAUCCCUAAGGACAUCUUGGAAGCCAUAUUUGAAGAUGGUAGAGCCUUGGGCCCCACUUAACUGCUCAAAGACUGGGGAGUGGGAGCCGUUUCAUCAGCACGUUCAGCCACAGAACGCUGUUAGGUGAGCAAAAAACCGGUUGUCUGAGCCAACGCCCGUUUGUCUAUGGGUUGCAGCAGUUGGUCCGCCUAACUAAGGAAGUGCUGAGAGCGGAGGACGUGGAACGACACCAUGCUAAGGUACACGGCGCCUUCCCGGAGGUACAGGAGAGGAUCCAAGUAGCACUCCAGCAAUACAUUCCCAAGGCCCAUGGCCCUGACUCAAGGCAGGCUAAUAAAAGCUAAGAUGCAGCAUUCUAGAAACCCUGAGCUCAACUCUAGCCUGUGCCGACAUCCUGACUUUCAAACCCAUUGGUUUCCAAAAGGAAAAAAGGUUUCAAGCUUUCCAUUCACGACUUUGAACCCAGCCAUUGCAUCUGCCUUUAACAGACUGUCAGUCUGGCAAGAACACCCACUACGUGAAGAGCUGCUACUGAUCCCAGGAAUAAUCAGUUCACAGCCUGGCCUGUGUCAGGGUUGGCAACACAGGUGUCAUAAAAGAAGAAAAGACCAAUUCAUCAACAGUGCUUUCAGGGUGGGCUCAGUAGCUCACAGCUGUAAUCCCAGCACUUUGAGAGACCAAGGUGGAAGUAUUGCUUGAGGCUAGAAGUUUGAGAUAAGCCUGGCCAACAUAGCAAGACCUCCAUCUCUAUAAAACAAGACAAAAGAAAAAAGACAAAAAAAAAAAAAAAAAAAAAAAAGGAUUGCUUUCAUUUUCCCAGAAGGGGCUGCACUUUGAAAUAAAAAGUAGUUUGAAUUCCAUGCCUGUCUUAGUCCAUUUUGUGUUGCUACAGCAGAAUACCUGGGUAAUUUACCAUGAACAGAAAUUUAUGUUCUCACAGUUCUGGAGGCUGGGAAGUCCAAGAUCAAGGCUCUGGC
rnacentral:lncRNA from 1 species